rnacentral:lncRNA from 1 species
CUUCAGGACACUCGGUAAUGUGUGUGAUAUGCUCCUCACACAGCACCUCCUCGGUCCUCUCAGGCUGCGACAGACCUGGUCCUGCCACCAGCAGAACGCAACAGGUACCAAAAAAGUACCCUUGAAAACAGAUGGAAGACGAGUCCCAGUAUUACCAGGGGCUUCAGUGAAGAUCAUGGCCCAUUGCACAGGAAGGAUGUGCUCACUUCCAGAAGAUCCUACGGUCUAAUUCAAGCCAGAAGGAAGGCUUGUUCCCAAGAAAUACUGAAUUUCAUGGCAUUGACUCCUGAUCCUUGGAUUGCUUCUUCAUCCCAUCUCAGACAUGUCUCCAAAGUGUCUGUAGUGGGGCCAGGUCUGACAGAGCCCCACAUCCACAGAUGGAGGGGCGGGCAUCGGCCGGAUCAAAGCACAUCUGCUGGGGGCCAGCACAUCCCUCCUCCACCAGCACUGGGGCUGCCUGCCCUCAGCCACCAUGGGAGCCAACCACGGCCCAGCUGCACAUCUCAGGAGCCAGGGAGCUGUUCUUGGGAUGGACAACAUAAGGAUUUAAGUAACAGGUGUUGGCUGGGGAAGCGUUUUACAGGCAAAGUUUCGGAGCACAGAGAAGCACCUUUCCUCUGUUGGUCCUUAUCUUUUGAGAUCUGA